rnacentral:lncRNA from 1 species
AAUGGGAGUUUACAAAGUGUUGGCAAUCUCACAACCCAAAUAACCCAAUACACCCAAUAACUCUCACACACCACAGAAACAAAUAGAGAAAGAAAUAUAAUGAAUAAUUUCUUCUCUAUACAUAUAGCUCAAAGCUAUUACAACAAUAACUAUGAUGGAUGAUUGCUAACAAAAAAGAAGAGCACAUUCUUCUUCUUUUCAACAAAGGGUUGCUGCACCCUUUCUAUUUUCUGAUGCUCUGUAGCUUGCACUCAUUUUCUCUGCAGCUCUCUUCUCUCUUCUCUCUUCUGCUCUAAUCUGAAAAUUGAGCUCUCCUUUUCUUCUCUUCUACCGAAACAAAACAAUGAAUUAUUAUUCAAAACAAGCCAUCACUUUCGGCUAAUAAAAAACCACAAAAGAAGAAAAACAUCAUCAUGAUGCCUCCUCAUCAUGAUGUCUUUAUAAUUUUAUAACCAAAAGUUUUUUUCUUUUCCUUUUUUUAAUAGCCGAAAGUUGUUUGUUUGACCAUAAUUCAACAAUCUCCACCUUGGCCAAAUUCCGAAAACACCAUGAUAAGCCAACCAACACAAUCAACACAAAAAUCACUCCCAAACACUAGCAAGAGAACAACUCAUGCCGAGUCAAAUGCUCCAAAACUCCUACUGCUCAACGCCUUCUUUAUAUAGGCAAAAUGUGAGCCAAGUUCAAA